AAGCAUUUAAGUUACUCUGCUGCCUCUUUUUACCAAAAGGGCUAAAAGGCAUCUUCUUGGUUUUUAAACAGUAUGGAAGAAUCUGUUAAGCUCAGGAGGGAUAGCGCCAUUCUUGGUUUGGUUUUAGACCAUGUAUUGCGCUAUCCAUCCUGAGUUUCAUGGCUUCUUCUUGCUCUCUCUCUCUCUCUCUCUCUCUCUCUCUUCUUUGCAGCCAAGCCAAGGGAUUGAAACUUGUGGCCUUGUAAGUAUAUAUGCUGCUUAAAAGAUGAAACAUCUGCAGAAUCAGUUUGGUUUUAUGUUAAUUUUGUGCUUUGCUAGCUGUUUGUUUAAAAUGAUGAGGCCAGUUGGUUUUGGAGUUCAUUUUUCUCUGUUCCUUUACAACAAUCUUGCUCAGUUUAAAUCUCUCUUUGUUUAGAAGCUACAUCUUUCUUGAAGCUUACCCAGAACCAGAAGGAAAAAAACUAAUUUUCUCACAUUUGCUUGGUUUCCUUGUAUAACCCAUUGUGAGCCUUUAAAAGUAGAUAAAAAUAUACCAAAAGAAGACAUGAGAUAUUGAAGAACUUAUCCAUAGUCACAUGUUAAGGUGGGGCGAAGGAUGUUGACCACUUCCAACCUGGUGAUGUUAUAAGUCAGGGUCUCAGAUAUUUCUCUUUCAUUUACCUGAACUUUAGCUAAAAGGUUGGUCCAUGUUCGUACGUUUAGAUAUUAUUAUUUUUCCAUUUCAGGUAAAAAUAGUUUCCACUUCCUUUGCUUGCUGCUUCCACCAAAAUAUCAUUCAUUUACUCAUCACUUGCUUUAAUUUUUAUUUUAUUUUCCACCUUUUCUUUCAAAGGAUUCUGUUUUUCCUAUGUUGGAAUUUUGUGUAUCUUUGGCUAAAACUGCUCUUCACAUUUAGAAAUCAGAAAAUUGCUUUUUGUGCAAAUAGAGACUUGCCAGGUAGCUUUUGGUUUUCCUAAUCAAAUAGAGAGCUGUGGUGCUGUGUUGGGUUAAAAACUGCAAUGUCAUUACUAAUUGUUGUGUUAUUUGUCUCAAAACAUCGAAGGGUUAUCUACUUUGGGCUCAAUGAUUGCAGGUUGUUGCAAUAUCGGGAAUGAAUGAGAGGAUUGAGAUGAGGGCCAACCAUGAGUAGAAUUAGUUGCCAAGGCUCUUUGGUCAAGCAGAUUUUUACCCUGUGAAACACUUACAUGAAACGAAGAUAUCAUUAUUUUGAUAUUCCUAGCCAAUCACAGUAUUGAUAAUUUCGAUUGAUAGAGGAUAGCAAAACAGUAUUAUCUCCAUUUUAUACAAGUUUUUUUUGACUAUUUUGAGAGCCUAUGAAGAAUCUUCACUUGUCCAAUCUACCUGUUCAAGUUUGACUUAAUGUACCACAAGGUGGAAGGAAAAGUACUUCUUUUUAUGCAUUAUACUGGAUAUGAAAUCAAUUUUAGUUAUGGACAUACCAAUCUUAUUUAAAUGCGUGGGAAAAGUAAGGGUUUUAUAGUUUAAGUGGUUAAGAGCAUUUUUAAGAAUUUUUAAAUUUUAGUUAAAAUAGUUAGAAAGUCAUUAUAGCAAACUACUUA
rnacentral:lncRNA from 1 species